rnacentral:rRNA from 1 species
CUACGUGCCAGCAGCCGCGGUAAUACGGAAGGUCCAGGCGUUAUCCGGAUUUAUUGGGUUUAAAGGGAGUGUAGGCGGUUUGUUAAGCGUGUUGUGAAAUUUAGGUGCUCAACAUUUAACUUGCAGCGCGAACUGUCAGACUUGAGUACACGCAACGUAUGCGGAAUUCAUGGUGUAGCGGUGAAAUGCUUAGAUAUCAUGAAGAACUCCGAUUGCGAAGGCAGCAUACGGGAGUGUAACUGACGCUUAAGCUCGAAGGUGCGGGUAUCGAACAGGAUUAGAUACCCUGGUAGUCCGCACAGUAAACGAUGGAUGCCCGCUGUUGGUACCUGGUAUCAGCGGCUAAGCGAAAGCAUUAAGCAUCCCACCUGGGGAGUACGCCGGCAACGGUGAAACUCAAAGGAAUUGACGGGGGCCCGCACAAGCGGAGGAACAUGUGGUUUAAUUCGAUGAUACGCGAGGAACCUUACCCGGGCUUGAA